rnacentral:lncRNA from 10 species
GUAGCUAAUAAAGUCUGAGCCCUCACUCCACAGGCCAUUGGAAUUUCAUUCAUCUACUGGAUUCUCCUUGCCAAGUAAUUUCUGGGAAUUCCUCAGUCUUGCUCACAUGUUGUACUACUCUCUCCUGGAUGUCACUUGUCACCUCUACCAGCCCUCCUUUCUCCAGAUGGCUUCUUCAUAACCACCAGGUCAGAAGAGGAUCCGUUCCAAUGAUUUUCCUAAAACAAUGGAAGUGUUUUCCAAAGCUUUUGCUGUUCCUAUUGGCGACUGCACAAUUCUUAGCAACACUGAAGUGCUGGAGGUGAAGCUCUCCGUGUGUUGUCUUCAGAUGACGAAUGUAUUCUUCUGAUGACUUGGGACAAAUUCUCCCUCCAAAAUGCCACUGUCUGUGAAUACACCCUCCUGUAAAACUCUGGCCAUAGUACAGGGUGAAAGGUUUUAUGGACAAAAAACAAUGUUGCAGAUUACUCUCUUCUAGAUUACUCAAAAGUCCUCUCCUCUAUGGCAGCUUCCUAUAAUCCAAUCACAGUCCUUUCUGAGUCUUCCCACCUCACCUGGCUUCUGCAGCUGGAGUUAAACAUGAUUUGCUCUUUGCUUUCUUAGGCUUUUGUUACUGAAUUAUUUUAUGUUAUCUUUUAGAUGUUGAUGGUCACUUGCACGUGCCAUAGCGGAGGUCUAAUGGUCUCAAGGAGGAUUUUAACUUUGUAUUUUGGGUAAUGUCUUUGUGUUUUCCUUCUUCUGAUACAUUCUGCUUUUUAAAUCUAUUUAAACUAUAAGAAUAAAA